GACGAACGCUGGCGGCGUGCCUAAUACAUGCAAGUAGGACGCAGUUGCGAACGGGUGAGUAACGCGUAGGUAACUACCUAUUAGAGGGGGAUAACUAUUGGAAACGAUAGCCAAUACCGCAUACUAUUAGAUGGACCUUCGUUGUAGUUGAAAGUAGGUAGGGGAAUGGCCUACCUAGGCAACGAUACAUAGCCGACUUGGUGAGGUGAUUCGCCACACUGGGACUGAGACACGGCCCAGACUCCCACGGGAGGCAGCAAUAGGGGAUCUUCGGCAAUGGGGGGAAACCUGACCGAGCCAAGGCGGGUGAGUGAAGAAGGUUUUCGGGUCGUAAAGCUAUGUUGUUAAGGAAGCGGUACUUAACCAGAAAGGGACGGCUAACUACGUGCCAGCAGCCGCGGUAAUUC
rnacentral:rRNA from 1 species